UUAAAUUACUUUUUGUAUGUUAAAUUCUCAGCUUUCCUUCUAAAACAGUGAAAAACAUAUCAGAAGUAUGGGUUUUCUUUUUCUUUUUUUCUCGCCUGUAAUCACGUUUUGCAGCAUUCGUUUAAGACCCGUACCCAUAGACAUGCGCAUGAGGGAGGCAGGGAAAAUAUUUGAUGUUAAAUACAAUGGAUUCUGCUCAAUGUGGGAACGUUGGAACCAGUUACAUCUGCCUGCAUUAAGCGGUU